UACGGAGGGGGCUAGCGUUGUUCGGAAUUACUGGGCGUAAAGCGCACGUAGGCGGCUUUGUAAGUCAGAGGUGAAAUCCCGGGGCUCAACUCCGGAACUGCCUUUGAGACUGCAUCGCUUGAAUCCAGGAGAGGUGAGUGGAAUUCCGAGUGUAGAGGUGAAAUUCGUAGAUAUUCGGAAGAACACCAGUGGCGAAGGCGGCUCACUGGACUGGUAUUGACGCUG
rnacentral:rRNA from 1 species